CGUACACUCCUGCGGGAGGCAGCAGUGGGGAAUAUUGCACAAUGGGCGCAAGCCUGAUGCAGCGACGCCGCGUGGGGGAUGAAGGCCUUCGGGUUGUAAACUCCUUUCGCUAGGGACGAAGCUUUUUUGUGACGGUACCUAGAUAAGAAGCACCGGCUAACUACGUGCCAGCAGCCGCGGUAAUACGUAGGGUGCGAGCGUUGUCCGGAAUUACUGGGCGUAAAGGGCUCGUAGGUGGUUUGUCGCGUCGUCUGUGAAAUUCUGGGGCUUAACUCCGGGCGUGCAGGCGAUACGGGCAUAACUUGAGUGCUGUAGGGGUAACUGGAAUUCCUGGUGUAGCGGUGAAAUGCGCAGAUAUCAGGAGGAACACCGAUGGCGAAGGCAGGUUACUGGGCAGUUACUGACGCUGAGGAGCGAAAGCAUGGGUAGCGAACAGGAUUAGAUACCCCAGUAGUCCCAUGAU
rnacentral:rRNA from 1 species